AGCCUGAACGCUGGCGGCGUGGCUAAGACAUGCAAGUCGUACGGAUGUAGCAAUACAUCAGUGGCGAACGGGUGAGUAAUGAAUCGCUAAUGUGCCCCGGACUCUGGGAUAGCCGGUCGAAAGGCCGGGUAAUACCAGAUGAUAUACCUUCAUCGCAUGAUGAGGGUCUCAAAGGUCCGCCGGUCUGGGAGCAGGCGAUUUCGUAUCAGCUAGUUGGUGAGGUAACGGCUCACCAAGGCGACGACGCGUAGCCGGACUGAGAGGUUGGCCGGCCACAUUGGGACUGAGACACUGCCCAGACUCCUACGGGGGGCUGCAGUACGAAUCUUCCGCAAUGCACGAAAGUGUGACGGAGCGACGCCGCGUGGAGGACGAAGUUCUUCGGAAUGUAAACUCCUGUCAGAGGAAAGAAAGUUCUGAUCUACCUCAGAGGAAGAGGCGGCUAACUCUGUGCCAGCAGCCGCGGU
rnacentral:rRNA from 1 species